rnacentral:rRNA from 1 species
GACGAACGCUGGCGGCGUACCUAAUACAUGCAAGUUGAGCGAUGAAGAUUGGUGCUUGCACCAAUUUGAAGAGCAGCGAACGGGUGAGUAACGCGUGGGGAAUCUGCCUUUGAGCGGGGGACAACAUUUGGAAACGAAUGCUAAUACCGCAUAAUAACUUUAAACAUAAGUUUUAAGUUUGAAAGAUGCAAUUGCAUCACUCAAAGAUGAUCCCGCGUUGUAUUAGCUAGUUGGUGAGGUAAAGGCUCACCAAGGCGAUGAUACAUAGCCGACCUGAGAGGGUGAUCGGCCACAUUGGGACUGGGACACGGCCCAAACUCCUACGGGAGGCAGCAGUAGGGAAUCUUCGGCAAUGGACGAAAGUCUGACCGAGCAACGCCGCGUGAGUGAAGAAGGUUUUCGGAUCGUAAAACUCUGUUGGUAGAGAAGAACGUUGGUGAGAGUGGAAAGCUCAUCAAGUGACGGUAACUACCCAGAAAGGGACGGCUAACUACGUG